rnacentral:rRNA from 1 species
UACGUAGGGACCGAGCGUUGUCCGGAAUCAUUGGGCGUAAAGAGCGUGUAGGCGGCUAUUUAAGUCCUGCGUGAAAUCCUGCGGCUCAACCGCAGACGGUCGUGGGAAACUGGAUGGCUAGAGUGCGGGAGAGGAGAGUGGAAUUCCCGGUGUAGCGGUGAAAUGCGCAGAUAUCGGGAAGAACACCAGUCGGCGAAGGCGACUCACUGGACACGUAUUGACGCUGAGGUGCGAAAGCGUGGGGAGCAAACAGG